rnacentral:lncRNA from 1 species
GCGGCAUUUUCUACUAUGGAUUUACACCCAAAACAUAAUGAUGAUGUGGUACUGAUUAGGAAUUUCUGGUUUCUUUCAGGUUUCUAUGGAUCCUAGCAGUCCACAAUGAAGGAAGUACACCAAGUCCUUCUGUGGUUAUUCAAAACCUUGUCUAUCUAACUAACAUAGUUCUGGGAAGGAAAAGACCCAAAACCGCUCCUGGUGCCAUGCGAGGCUGCCUGUGGCGGUGCAUCAGAGUCCUGGCAUCCCUAAUCAUCCUGGGGUUCCUUCUUCGAGAGAAUAUAGCAGUGCGCGUGGAGCCGCAAUUUAACACAUUUCUGGUGAGAA